rnacentral:rRNA from 1 species
ACGGGUGCGUAACGCGUAUGCAAUCUGCCUUUCACAGAGGGAUAGCCCAGAGAAAUUUGGAUUAAUACCUCAUAGUAUUAUGUUUCGGCAUCGAGAUAUAAUUAAAGUCACAACGGUGAAAGAUGAGCAUGCGUCCCAUUAGCUAGUUGGUAAGGUAACGGCUUACCAAGGCAACGAUGGGUAGGGGUCCUGAGAGGGAGAUCCCCCACACUGGUACUGAGACACGGACCAGACUCCUACGGGAGGCAGCAGUGAGGAAUAUUGGACAAUGGGCGCAAGCCUGAUCCAGCCAUGCCGCGUGCAGGAUGACGGUCCUAUGGAUUGUAAACUGCUUUUGUACGAGAAGAAACACUGCUUCGUGAAUCAGCUUGACGGUAUCGUAAGAAUAAGGAUCGGCUAACUCCGUGCCAGCAGCCGCGGUAAUACGGAGGAUCCAAGCGUUAUCCGGAAUCAUUGGGUUUAAAGGGUCCGUAGGCGGUUUAGUAAGUCAGUGGUGAAAGCCCAUCGCUCAACGGUGGAACGGCCAUUGAUACUGCUGAACUUGAAUUAUUAGGAAGUAACUAGAAUAUGUAGUGUAGCGGUGAAAUG